UACAGAGGUCCCAAGCGUUGUUCGGAUUCACUGGGCGUAAAGGGUGCGUAGGUGGUCGGGUAAGUCUGCUGUGAAAUCCCGCAGCUCAACUGCGGAACUGCAUUGGAAACUAUCCGACUAGAGGAAUGGAGGGGAGACUGGAAUUCUCGGUGUAGCAGUGAAAUGCGUAGAUAUCAGGAGGAACACCGGUGGUGUAGACGGCUUUCUGGACCGUAACUGACGCUGAGACACGAAAGCGUGGGUAGCAAACAGG
rnacentral:rRNA from 1 species